rnacentral:rRNA from 1 species
UUGAUCAUGGCUCAGAGCGAACGCUGGCGGCAGGCCUAACACAUGCAAGUCGAACGGAUCCUUCGGGAUUAGUGGCGGACGGGUGAGUAACACGUGGGAACGUGCCCUUUGGUUCGGAACAACUCAGGGAAACUUGAGCUAAUACCGGAUGUGCCCUUCGGGGGAAAGAUUUAUCGCCAUUGGAGCGGCCCGCGUCUGAUUAGCUAGUUGGUGGGGUAAAGGCCCACCAAGGCGACGAUCAGUAGCUGGUCUGAGAGGAUGAUCAGCCACAUUGGGACUGAGACACGGCCCAUACUCCUACGGGAGGCAGCAGUGGGGAAUCUUGCGCAAUGGGCGAAAGCCUGACGCACCCAUGCCGCGUGAUGAUGAAGGU